CUUGGACUGAAGGGAGCUCCA
rnacentral:miRNA from 1 species